rnacentral:rRNA from 1 species
GGUAGAAGCUCGUAGUUGGAUUUUCUGUUGAGGUCGACGGUGCACACCUCGUGGUUAUUUGGUUCGGUCUCGGCAUCCUCUUGGGGAACGUUUCAGGACUUAAUUGGACUGGGCGAGAUUCAAGACUUUUACUUUGAGGAAAUUAGAGUGUUCACGGCAGGCAAGUGCUUUGAAUACAUUAGCAUGGAAUAAUAAUAUAGGACCUUCGUUCUAUUUUGUUGGUUUCUAGAACUUAGGUAAUGAUUAAUAGGGACA